rnacentral:rRNA from 1 species
GACGAACGCUGGCGGCGUGCUUAACACAUGCAAGUCGAACGAAGAGCGAUGGAAGCUUGCUUCUAUCAAUCUUAGUGGCGAACGGGUGAGUAACGCGUAAUCAACCUGCCCUUCAGAGGGGGACAACAGUUGGAAACGACUGCUAAUACCGCAUACGAUCUAAUCUCGGCAUCGAGGGUAGAUGAAAGGUGGCCUCUACAUGUAAGCUAUCACUGAAGGAGGGGAUUGCGUCUGAUUAGCUAGUUGGAGGGGUAACGGCCCACCAAGGCGAUGAUCAGUAGCCGGUCUGAGAGGAUGAACGGCCACAUUGGGACUGAGACACGGCCCAGACUCCUACGGGAGGCAGCAGUGGGGAAUCUUCCGCAAUGGACGAAAGUCUGACGGAGCAACGCCGCGUGAGUGAUGACGGCCUUCGGGUUGUAAAGCUCUGUUAAUCGGGACGAAAGGCCUUCUUGCGAAUAGUGAGAAGGAUUGACGGUACCGGAAGAGAAAGCCACGGCUAACUACGUG